CGAGUGAAGCGGCAAUAGCUCAAAUUUGAAAGCUGGCCCCUUCGGGGUCCGCGUUGUAAUUUGUAGAGGAUGAUUCGGCGAGGGCUCCCGUCUAAGUCCCUUGGAACAGGGCGUCAUAGAGGGUGAGAAUCCCGUAUGUGAUGGGCUGCCUUAGCCAUGUGAAUCUCCUUCGACGAGUCGAGUUGUUUGGGAAUGCAGCUCUAAAUGGGAGGUAAAUUUCUUCUAAAGCUAAAUACCGGCCAGAGACCGAUAGCGCACAAGUAGAGUGAUCGAAAGAUGAAAAGCACUUUGGAAAGAGAGUUAAAAAGUACGUGAAAUUGUUGAAAGGGAAGCGCUUGCAGCCAGACUUGUCCGCAGUUGCUCAGCUUGUCUCCUGACAGGCGUACUCUUCUGCGGCCAGGCCAGCAUCAGUUCGGGCGGUCGGAUAAAGACCUAGGGAAUGUAGCUCCUCUCGGGGAGUGUUAUAGCCCUGGGUGCAAUGCGGCCAGCCUGGACUGAGGAUCUCGCUUCGGCUAGGAUGCUGGCGUAAUGGCUGUAAGCGGCCCGUCUUGAAACACGGACC
rnacentral:rRNA from 1 species